CACGUAGGGUGCGAGCGUUGUCCGGAAUUAUUGGGCGUAAAGGGCGCGUAGGCGGCUGUACAAGUCAAAGGUGAAAUCCCUCGGCUCAACUGAGGAACUGCCUUUGAAACUGUACGGCUUGAGGCCGGGAGGGGGUAGCGGAAUUCCCAGUGUAGCGGUGAAAUGCGUAGAUACUGGGAGGAACACCAGUGGCGAAGGCGGCUACCUGGACCGGUUCUGACGCUGAGGCGCGAAAGCGUGGGUAGCAAACAGG
rnacentral:rRNA from 1 species